rnacentral:rRNA from 1 species
UCCUUAGAUGUCCUGGGCUGCACGCGCGCUACACUGAUGUGUCCAGUAAGCACCUAACCUCUUCCGAAAGGAACGGGUAACCUUUGCAAAGCACAUCGUGAUGGGGAUAGAUUAUUGCAAUUAUUAGUCUUGAACGAGGAAUUCCUAGUAAGCACAAGACAUCAGCUUGUGUUGAUUACGUCCCUGCCCUUUGUACACACCGCCCGUCGCUCCUACCGAUUGGGUGUGCUGGUGAAAUGUUCGGAUCGGCCGUUUGUCGCGGUUUCCGCGUCAUGUGGCUGAGAAGUUCAUUAAACCCUCCCACCUAGAGGAAGGAGAAGUCGUAACA